GUACUAUAUAUGACUUGCAAAUAUUCUGAUUUACCAGAUUUAGCAAACAGAAUCAAGUGUGGCCUUUACAAGAAAGUCUACAGAACUGACAAAACAAAAAUUUGAAAUUAAAAAACUAGUGGUUGCCUAUCACAACACAAGAGAACUCUAUGGUUUAAAAAUAUAUUCAUUUUUAAUUAGUAACACCUAAAUAUUUGUUUAUAGGUCAUUAAGAGUUUAACAGAUUCUGGAAACCAAAAAUUAAAGUAUUAGCAACCACUGCCAAAGGAAGAUUAAUUUGAUUUUAUUUUUAAAUCUGUAAAUUUACAGAUCAGUAGAAAAAUAUGAGAUAUAUAAAAAAAAAUUACAUUGACAUUUUCAGGAAUAUAUUGCAUUAAGAUAGACCCCCAGUAAUCAGAAAAGUAUGGAAAAAGAGUAGGCACCAAAGAAAUAAUUUGGGGUAGACAUCAAAAAAAAAGAAAAAAAAACCUCACAAUAGUACAAUAUUAGUCUGCAUGUUGCAGAUAGCUUUUACAGUGAUCCACUGACAAAUGACCAUGACAGAACUAGCAAAAAGUGUAAAAAAAUAGGUUGAGACUUAGAACCCACCUUCCCUCUCAUAAAUACCACAACACAAACUGCAGAGAUUAGGUGGCCAAAUUUCAGCGUCAAAGGUAUACUUGGCAUUUAAACCAGAUCUAAGAAUUAUGGUCUUUGUUUUCUAGUAAAAGCUAAUAAGCUGAGGUUUACUUAACUCUUUCCUGGUUUUUCUGUUUUUGUUUUUGUUUUUUGAGCUUCUCAAGGAUUACUGAAAAUGAAGAGUACAUAUAAAAAAGACAGUUCAUCAUUUCCAAAAAAGAUAUUCAUCCAGAUUGCCCUCCAAUCCGUGAAAUCUGAGAUGCCUAAGGAGUCUUCUUUGUGAAAGCCUUACAAAUAUAUCCAAAGAUGACCUAAGGAGGCCACCCUUGAGACUGAAGAAGACUGGAACUAGCAGCAUUCAAAGAAUGUCCACAUCAGUCCUUCCUUUGCCAGAAAGGAUCACUAAUUAGCAAUAUCAGCAAUAUCCACACACCUUGCCAGACCCUGGGACAACACAUUUGCUCAGAGUCUGAACUUGGUUUCCUAUGUGGUAGCAUGGCCAGCCCCUACUCAGACUUGGCAACCUCAACAAAGGUACUUCAGAAGCCUCUGCAGUGCAGGGCUCUUGGGAUCUGGCUCUUAGGACUGCUGAUGGCAGCACCAGUACUGCAGUUGCAGAACAGCACACGCUCUAACAGCCUUGGCAAGUAAAACAGCAUUGGUGGAACCGUGGACUGCUGGGCUCUUGCCAUGUCAGUAGGAGUGCGGGUGCCUGGCUUCCUGCAAAGAGUGGCAAUGAUGAAUCCAACAGCCACAGCAGCAGCAGUGCUCCAGCUGCCUCUGCAGCACAAUGCUUGUAAGCUCCGGGUAACAAAACUUUCCCCUUGCUUUCUGCAGAUAUUCAUUGCUACAUAUCAUUGCCACUGUCUUUCCCUUCCAUCAGACUUUCCAACACAUUUGUAACCAAUUCUCAGAUUAAAGUCUCUCUGUCUUGA